rnacentral:lncRNA from 1 species
UAAUUUGCUACUUGUUAGACUUUGGGCCAGUUGCUUUACUUCUAUGAGCAGCAAUUUUCCCAUCUAUAAGUAGGGGGAGUAAUAGUAGUACCUACCCCCUGGGAUUUUUAUGAAAAUAAAUGAAGACAUGGCAUAGUGCUCAAUAAACAUAAGAAAGCAUUAUGGUUACUACUGUAUUAUGAGCAUGGCUUAUCACAAAUAUCUACCAGGCACAAACAUUGGCACAAAACAUACAUCUAAUAAAUGUUAGCUCUUUUAGUUUAAUGGUUUAUGAUUACUUCAAAUAACAAGGAUGCUUCUAUUCGAUUCAUUAAUUCAUUCCUUCCGUAUGUGUGUCCGCCAAGUGCAAAGCCUCAGGCUAAAGCUUACACAGUGGUACUGUGCAGCUUCUGUGAGAAUUUCCCAGUGAAGAUGAAGAGUGUACCCCACUUCCCAAGUGCGUGCAUGCAGACAAGAGCAACACCUCGUUAAUACAGUGGCUAUGGUCAGCUACAACUGAACUACUGCGGCUGCCCUUGAAGUAGAAGAGAGAAAUCCCAAGAGCACAUGGAAAUAUAAAUCACAAAUGAGAAUGAGCAUCUCUUCUGAAAAAAGGGGGACAGAAGUGGCUAGAGGCUUGCAGUGGUUUGGACUGGCUUCCGUGUGUCCUCCAAAUGUGGCCUCUCCUCGGAGGCUGACUCAGAUAGUGUACUAUAAGAGAAAGAGACGAAGUGACAUGAGUCCCAUGUGCACUUUGAGAGCUCUGUAUGGAAACAUCAGCAGUGGUUCACAUACGUUUUCCAGAGAUAUUCUCAGGACUCCACCAAGAAAAAGUAGAAGACAUUAUUAUUGGAUGUGGUCAAACAUUUUCCAUCCUGCUCAGAUGUUCUUGUCCAAGAAGGUAAUCAGUGACCAUCCAUACUGCCUAAAAUACAAUGUGAUCCACUGUGCAAUUUUA